UACGUAGGGUCCGAGCGUUGUCCGGAAUUACUGGGCGUAAAGAGCUCGUAGGUGGUUUGUCGCGUUGUUCGUGAAAACUCACAGCUUAACUGUGGGCGUGCGGGCGAUACGGGCAGACUGGAGUACUGCAGGGGAGACUGGAAUUCCUGGUGGUAGCGGUGAAAUGCGCAGAUAUCAGGAGGAACACCGGUGGCGAAGGCGGGUCUCUGGGCCGAUGACUGACGCUGAGGAGCGAAAGCGUGGGGAGCGAACAGG
rnacentral:rRNA from 1 species